rnacentral:rRNA from 1 species
GACGAACGCUGGAGGCGUGCUUAACACAUGCAAGUCGAACGAUGAAGAAGAGAAACGCGAACUUCGGUUCAAAUUUCACUUAGGAUUAGUGGCAGACGGGUGAGUAACGCGUGAGCAACCUACCUCUUACAAAGGGAUAGCCUCGGGAAACCGUGAUUAAUACCAUAUGACACAUUCAUAAGGCAUCUUAAGAAUGUUAAAGCUACGGCGGUAAGAGAUGGGCUCGCGUCCCAUUAGCUAGUUGGUGAGGUAACGGCCCACCAAGGCGACGAUGGGUAACCGGCCUGAGAGGGUGAACGGUCACAUUGGAACUGAGACACGGUCCAAGCUCCUACGGGAGGCAGCAGUGGGGAAUAUUGCACAAUGGAGGGAACUCUGAUGCAGCGACGCCGCGUGAGCGAUGAAGGAAUUCGUUUCGUAAAGCUCUGUUCUAUGGGAAGAAAAGGACUGUACCAUAGGAGAAAGCCCCGGCUAAAUACGUG